GUAGUCAUGGCCGAGUGGUUAAGGCAAUGGAUUUUGGAAUCAUUUGGAGUUUCUCCACGUAGGUUCGAAUCCUGCUGACUACG